CCUACGGGGGGCUGCAGUGGGGAAUUUUGGACAAUGGGCGCAAGCCUGAUCCAGCCAUGCCGCGUGCAGGAUGAAGGCCCUCGGGUUGUAAACUGCUUUUGUACGGAACGAAAAGCCUCUCUCGAAUAAAGAGGGGUGAUGACGGUACCGUAAGAAUAAGCACCGGCUAACUACGUGCCAGCAGCCGCGGUAAUACGUAGGGUGCGAGCGUUAAUCGGAAUUACUGGGGCGAUCUCGUGCGCCAGUGGUGAAAUCCCCGGGCUCAACCUGGGAACGGCCAUUGUGACUGCAAGGCUGGAGUACGGCAGAGGGGGGUGGAAUUCCGCGUGUAGCAGUGAAAUGCGUAGAUAUGCGGAGGAACACCGAUGGCGAAGGCAGCCCCCUGGGCCUGUACUGACGCUCAUGCACGAAAGCGUGGGGAGCAAACAGGAUUAGAUACCCUAGUAGUC
rnacentral:rRNA from 1 species